GAUGAACGCUGGCGGCGUGCCUAAUACAUGCAAGUCGAGCGAACAGACGAGGAGCUUGCUCCUCUGACGUUAGCGGCGGACGGGUGAGUAACACGUGGAUAACCUACCUAUAAGACUGGGAUAACUUCGGGAAACCGGAGCUAAUCCCGGAUAAUAUCUUGAACCGCAUGGUUCAAUAGUGAAAGACGGUUUUGCUGUCACUUAUAGCUGGAUCCGCGCCGCAUUAGCUAGUUGGUAAGGUAACGGCUUACCAAGGCAACGAUGCGUAGCCGACCUGAGAGGGUGAUCGGCCACACUGGAACGGGGACACGGUCCAGACUCCUACGGGAGGCAGCAGUAGGGAAUCUGCCGCAAUGGGCGAAAGCUUGACGGAGCAACGCCGCGUGAGAGAUGAAGGUCUUCGGAUCGUAAAACUCUGUUAUUAGUGAAGAACAAAUGUGUAAGUAACUAUGCACGUCUUGACGGUACCUAAUCAGAAAGCCACGGCUAACUACGUG
rnacentral:rRNA from 1 species